GACGAACGCUGGCGGCGUGCUUAACACAUGCAAGUAGAACGGAAAGGCCUCUUCGGAGGUACUCGAGUGGCGAACGGGUGAGUAACACGUGGGAAAUCUGCCCCGCACUUCGGGAUAAGCCUGGGAAACUGGGUCUAAUACCGGAUAGGACUACAAGACGCAUGUCUGCUGUUGGAAAGCUUUUGCGGAGUGGGGUGGGCCCGCGGCCUAGCAGCUUGUUGGUGGGGUGACGGCCGACAAACGUGACGACUGGUAGCCGGCCUGAGAGGGUGUCCGGCCACACUGGGACUGGGAUACGGCCCAGACUCCUACGGGAGGCAGCAGUGGGGAAUAUUGCACAAUGGGCGCAAGCCUGAUGCAGCGACGCCGCGUGGGGGAUGACGGCCUUCGGGUUGUAAACCUCUUUCACCAUCGACGAAGGUCCGGGUUUUCUCGGAUUGACGGUGGGUGGAGAAGAAGCACCGGCCAACUACGUGCCAGCAGCCGCCGUAA
rnacentral:rRNA from 1 species